rnacentral:tRNA from 1 species
GUCUUCGUAGCUUAUAGAAAGCAUGGCACUGAAGAUGCCAAGAUGGUAGCCACACGCACCCAAAGACA